rnacentral:misc_RNA from 1 species
AAGGAUCAUUACCACACCUAAAAAACUUUCCACGUGAACUGUCAUUAUUUGUUGUGCGCUCUCUGCGGUGUCGGUGGCGUCUGUUGGCUGUAUUUGAUACUGCUGGCGGGUGCGAGCCGGAUGCAGAGGCUGAACGAAGGUCGAGUUGCUUUGCUCUCGGCUGACUUAUUUUUCAAACCCAAUACCCAACUUACUGAUUAUACUGUGAGAACGAAAGUUCUUGCUUUUAACUAGAUAACAACUUUCAGCAGUGGAUGUCUAGGCUCGC